GCGCCGGUGGUGAGAUGGCGUACAGCAUUCCCGCCCGGUCAGAGGGAGGUGCGGGUUCGAGUCCCGCCUGGCGCU
rnacentral:tRNA from 1 species